rnacentral:ncRNA from 1 species
GCCGCUACGGGAGGCGUCGACGCGCGGUCCUCAGCCCAGGCCGCCUGGAUCGCGCCGAGCCACUGGCGAGACCGGCCCGCUGCGGA